GUUCUAUUUCCAACGUGCUCUUCAGUGUCACGACAGGCAUGGCUGGUGGAACUAUUACAUGUUCAACAAGGUGCGAUCAUUUCCCAUCUGGUUUAUAUAAAGACUAUUCAUUAUCUUCUUCAGAGUUUUAUAUGGAAACAGAUAUAAUAAAGGAAAGCAGUCAUAAAAUACUUAACUUAACUUGCCACUCUGGUGGACCAUGCAUGCCAUGUAAAAUUGUGUGGAAUAUCGACAUCGCAAUGGACUAGGAACAGUGGCUCCGGCUAUAUAAGUGUUUCAAAUGCGCUCUACUUCAUUACUAAAGAUGUGGAUGGAAAACGGAUACAGUGUUCUGUAAAUUGUGGGAACGAGUCUUUAUACUCAAACAAUAGAACAUACACAAUUUCCUUUCAAGCUGUUCAGGAAUCAACUACCAUCUAUGCAUCCGUUGUAUCCCAUCAAUGGCAUACGCCGGUCCUUUAUGCCUUAUCAGUAACCUUCCUGCUUGCACUGGUAACAAAGUUGACCGUGCUUCUCUUGCGUCGAUGCAAACCUCAUGCGUAUGAAAGGUUCUUACGCCUAAGAGGACCUCUAGCUAGCGAUCCUAGUAGACAUGUGUACGAUGCUGUACAGUAUACUGUUGAGACAACUGCGCUUCACGAUAUAGUAAGUUUGUUGUUUUAAUCUAGUACAAGUAUAUGUAUAAGAAAAAGAUGGAAAGACAAA